rnacentral:rRNA from 1 species
UUCCAGCUCCAAUAGCGUAUAUUAAAGUUGUUGCAGUUAAAAAGCUCGUAGUUGAAUUUCGGGGUUAGUAGGUUGGUCAUGCCUCCGGUAUGUACUGAUCUCACUGAUUCCUCCUUCCUUAUGAACCGUAAUGCCAUUAAUUUGGUGUUGCGGGGAAUUUGGACUGUUACUUUGAAAAAAUUAGAGUGUUUAAAGCAGGCUAACGCUUGAAUACAUUAGCAUGGAAUAAUGAAAUAGGACGUUCGAUCUUAUUUUGUUGGUUUCUAGGAUUGACGUAAUGAUUAAUAGGGAUAGUUGGGGGCAUUAGUAUUCAAUUGUCAGAGGUGAAGUUCUUGGAUUUAUUGAAGACUAACUACUGCGAAAGCAUUUGCCAAGGAUGUUUUCAUUAAUCAAGAACGAAAGUUAGGGGAUCGAAGACGAUCAGAUACCGUCGUAGUCUUAACCAUAAACUAUGCCGACUAGGGAUCGG